rnacentral:lncRNA from 1 species
AGAUGGGUGCCCCCAUCCGCACACUGUCCUUUGGCCACCGGACAUCAUGCCUCCCAAGAAGGAUGUUCCCGUGAAGAAACCAGCAGGGCCCUCCAUCUCCAAACCUGCUGCUAAGCCAGCAGCAGCAGGGGCUCCUCCAGCCAAGACCAAAGCUGAGCCAGCUGUCCCCCAGGCCCCUCAGAAAACCCAGGAGCCUCCAGUCGAUCUCUCCAAAGUGGUGAUCGAGUUUAACAAGGACCAGCUGGAGGCCUUCUUGAAACACAUCCUAAGCGUCUGAGUGCUGCAGGUAGGGCCCUCCCACCCCUUCGCCGCGCCUUACGAGGCAAGUCUCCCGCCCUUCUCUCAGCCAACAUAGAAAAGCAGCGGAGUUCAUUCUGCUGUCCGGUUGCUGCACGGGCUCCAGCGCUUCGCAACUUUGGUUUUUUUCCACAGAUCCAGUGGGGUCCGGACACUGGGCCCCGCAGGCGAAAGCACGUUCCAGCC